GGCGGCGCGUAGCGGGAUGGCGGCGGCGGCGGGCCGCGUGGCGGCGGCGGCGCUGCGUGAGGCGGGCGCUCUGCGCUUUGGCGACUUCGUGCUGAAGAGCGGCCGGGCCUCCCCCGUCUACAUCGACCUGCGCGGCCUCAUCUCCCACCCGCUCCUCCUCCGCCAGGUUGCAGCUCUUCUCUUCCAAACAGCCAAAGAUGCUGGUCUGGAGUACGACUGUGUGUGCGGCGUUCCUUACACAGCACUGCCGUUGGCCACGAUUAUCUGCUCGGAAAAUCAGAUUCCAAUGCUUAUACGGAGGAAGGAAGCAAAAGACUACGGUACUAAGCGGCUGGUAGAAGGCACCAUUAAUCCAGGAGAAACAUGCUUGAUCAUUGAAGAUGUGGUAACAAGUGGAUCUAGUGUACUGGAAACUGCGGAAGUUCUUCAGAAAGAAGGAUUAAAAGUCACGGAUGCCAUAGUGCUGUUGGACAGGGAGCAGGGUGGGAAGGCCAGGUUAGAGGAACGUGGAAUUCGCCUGCAUUCUGUGUGCACGUUGUCUGGGGUGUUGGAGAUUCUCCAGCAGCAGGGAGAAGUGGCUGUUGAGAUGGUUGAAAAGGUGAAGAAAUUCAUUCAGGGAAAUGUGUUUGAGCCAGUGGCUCAGAACGGUCCUGCUCCUGUCAAGAGACUAUGUAAAGAGCUGAGCUUCAGUGCUCGUGCUGAGCUGCCGGGGGUACAUCCUAUUGCAGCCAGGCUUCUUGUGCUCAUGGAAAAGAAGCAAACAAACUUGUGCCUUUCUGCUGAUGUUACCAGCUCCAAAGAGCUGCUGCAGUUAGCUGCCAUCCUGGGCCCCAGCAUUUGUAUUCUGAAGACUCACAUAGACAUCCUGAAUGAUUUCACCCAGGAGGUAGUAAAGGAGCUGAGAACACUCGCAGAUCAACACGAAUUCCUGAUUUUUGAAGACAGGAAGUUUGCAGACAUUGGAAACACAGUGAAACAUCAAUAUGAAGGUGGUGUGUUCAGAAUCGCAUCCUGGUCAGACAUUGUUAAUGCCCACGUGGUUCCAGGCUCUGGAGUUGUGAAAGGUCUGAAGGAAGUCGGUCUUCCUCUCCAGCGUGGCUGUCUUCUGAUUGCCGAGAUGAGUUCCCAAGGGUCACUUGCAACGGGUGAAUACACAAAAGCUGCAGUACAGAUGGCUGAUGACAACUCAGAUUUUGUUUUUGGAUUCAUAUCUGGAUCUAGAGUUAGUAAUAAACCGGAAUUUCUUCACUUAACUCCAGGGGUGCAGCUGCAAACUGGAGGUGAUAACCUUGGACAGAAGUACCUAAGCCCCAAGGAAGUUAUUAGUGAAAAAGGUUCAGAUAUCAUUAUUGUGGGACGUGGCAUCUUGUCAGCUUCAGACCGUCUUCAAGAGGCAGAGAAGUACAGGAAGGCAGCUUGGGAGAGCUACAUAAGCAGACUUGGUACUCGUGCUGAAGUUUGAAAGCAGGCCACUUUCCUAGCCAAUAAGCAAAGCUGAUGGAGCCGCAAUCAUCGUGAGGCUUCCAGUUAAAUACAAAGACACUUCGGCCAAUAGAAAACUGCCCUUGUGGAGAAAAAUCUGUACUAACUAAAUUAUUUUUAAUCGCGCACACACAGAUCGAGUUGCACGUGCCGUGGUUGGGUUUUUUAACGCGUGAAACCAAAACUUCAUGCCCAGUUUUUAGCCUGAAUAGCUUUUCUCUGCUGAAAAAUGUUGCACGAAACACUCCAAGGGUGUCUGGUUGGCUGUUGUUGCUUUUGUUUCUUUUCCCCACCCUCAAAUUCUUUCUGUCUGUGGAAACAGUAUUUUACUGUUCUUAAUAAACUGCACCUGCAGAUCUGACCUGCUGCCCCACUCUCCCAGGAUUACUUGACUCUGCUAUUUCCAAGGAGCAAGUAUGGCUCUUAAUCCCACACUGUGAAAUUGAAUAAUGUGUUGUUUAAUAAAUACUUUUUUUGCUACUGUUUUCCUUUCAUUGGAUCUAUAACGCUUCCUUCUGUGGGAGUGUGAAAUUCUGUUUUCAGGACCCCAGUAUUAUAAAAAGUCAUUCUAGUGUUUGUGACUGCAGGAAUUACUCAUGAUUCUGUUUACAGGAGCUGCAAAGAAUUUGUCAGAGCAACUGGUUAUUGGAUGCUUAAUUACAGUGGAGCUGUUGAUUCCUCUGAUGAGAAACAAAAAUGUACUUUCUGUUUAUUGACUUUUUAUGACUAGCUGGAAUAAUUCUAGGAAUUACUUUCCACUUUUCAUGAUGAGUAAGGAGAAGUAGAAAUAUCUUGUAUGAUUGGGUUUGAUUAGAAAGGAUGGAAUAACCUUAGAACUAUCUAGUGUAUGUGUGGUAGAAAUCACCUUGAAUUUUCAUUGCUAUCAAGAAGGCAAAUAUGGUGUUGUGGUUCCUGUGCUGAUGCAAAGCACACAGAGGAAGCUGGGUCCCUUUGUUAAUAGAGUUACCUGUAGACUAGGAACAGCUCUAUCUAGCCUUGCUGUCUGGGUGUGUUGGGGGUGAUGACUUUACCUUUUCACACUCCAGUCUUGGAAGUGUACUUCCACUCCCCUUGAUGACAGUGCUGCUUAUGGGGCUUAGGAGUUGGUUAUUUUGGUGAGAAUAUUAGAACUUGGUGUAUGUGGUUUGUUUUCCAUGGGGCUACCGUUUACUUCAACAGUCUUAUGCAUCAUAAUUUACAUCUGGAGAACUCUAGCUAGGGAACAUGGAGGCUCUCUUAGCCACCUUUCACAGCUGGAACUUGAUGAGUGUGUUGUAUCUUGUGCAGCCAGCCUGCAACAGUCUGUGAGUCGUCAUACUUCACAUCAACUUCUAAGAAGUUCCAGUUCUUCAAAGUGAACGGAGGAUUUGGGGUUGUUUACUGUGUCAUCUUAAUUAUCUCGUGGCCUUGAGGCCUGCAGCAGAAACAAGACUUUCUCACUUAAAAUGUUUUGCAGGAAACUGCUUUUUCCACCAGAGGGAGCUGAGACUCUAUUUUUCAGAAGAGUCGAUGUACUAGCUCUUUUACAGCUAAUAGUUUCCGAUGAUGAUACCAACUCUAGAUAUGUUUAGGAUGAAAAUCUGUCUGGUUUUCAACAAGUUACACCCUUGCUGAUGCCCUCAUUUAAAAUAGUAGAGUUUACCAGAAAACUGCCUCAGGCUGGAGUUGAGCAUUGUAUGUUGUAGGUUCACUGUUGCAGUACAAGAUGAGUUUAGUAUUUUCCACUAACUAUGCUGAAUCGGGUUAAGCGGGUGGCUGACUUCCAUGCAGCUAAAUCCCUGAGCAGGCUCUUUGGAGAGCUAGUUUAUCAGGCCUCUGGCUGAAAAAAUAGCAACCAGAUUUGGAGAGACGGAUGUGAUCUAAUAUCCAGCCACUUUUAGACAAUACGUGCAACUCAUUUUAUUACCAAAACAACUUCUGAGGAACAGAUUGAUUGGAAAACUUCAUUUCACAGUCCUUCAUUGUGGACUCAAUAAAUCAUCCAGAAAGAGCUGUAUUUUGGUGCUUCAUUUGACACCAAUGUUGCAAACGUUUCAAUUAGCAAAACAAAAAACGUUACCUCCUAUAUGCAUUCUUCUGUCAGAGUGAUUAUAGUAAACAAGCGUGUGCACUUUCUUUGAGGCACCUGAAAGUGAUUAAAAAUCCAUUUCAAAUUAAGGACAAAUGUUAAUUUCCUUGCUUGCCCCUGCUGCUCGCAUUCAUCGCGUAGUUCCUGCUGUUGGUCCCAACUGUUCCUAACAUGGGAACUAGGUCACAAUUUACAAAACUCAUUUGCAUCAUAAUAUAUGAAUCUGAAAGUCUUGCAGUUCAUUCUCUGAUCUAAUCGAGUCUGGGAUAGAGGCAUAAGGCUAUAUUUAAAUUACUGGGUUAUCACAUGACUUAUAUUAUCUGGCAAGUAGGUGUUUAUAUGAAAUUGUGAUCCUUAAUCCACUCUGGAGUAUGGUUUAUAACAGAAUGAAAGGAUAUCACACUUUUCAUAGUGAAAUAAGACUGCGAUCAAGCGUUGUCAGUGCUUGCAACAGAAAAAAGGCUGACUUGCUGCUGUUUCUGAGCAGUGUAGCGGGGACUGUGAGAGACCAGCACAAGCUGGAACCAUUAAGGAAUUGUUAGGUAGCUUUUGAUAUUUGUAUGUAAAGUUCACUCUAUCUAUCUCUGUCUAGCAUGAGGAGUGCUGUGUCAAGAGAACCCAGCCUGUGGACUUUAAUUGGUGUAACUGCAUAAGUGCAGUGCUUGACUCAGACUUAAAAUUCUUGCAAAAUCUUGAUACCCCCAGCACUGAAUUAAAACCAGCCAAGUUAAAUUUUUUUGUUCUUAGAAGUAUGAUUUGUAUGUCACAGUAUCAACAUUGCUUUAUUAACUAGUAACUGACAUGUCAUAUUAUAGUUUCCAUUGCCUAUUCUAUGAAAAUUUAUUUAAGACUUAAUCCCAGAAAAAUAACUGAAUCACUUCCCUUUAAAUUUACAUGGAAAGCCUGUUGCUGUGGAUUUUUUUAGCAAGCGACACAAACAUUGCAUUUAGGGAACGGGACCAAAGGAAUGUGAAACACCCCGGGGGAAGUUUGUUUUCAGAUUUGACUUUUGGAGGUCACUGUCUCACAGAAAUGAUCUGUUUCAGAAGGCUUGUAACGACUGUGGGCUAGACAGGCUGGAUGUUUGGUUUGUUUGUAAUCACUCUGUUGGUUCUUGGUCGGUCUGUACCACAGUGGCAAGUACAGCCUCAUGUUCGAAUGCUGCAGCAAAUUAAAACUCAGCCUGGUGCCUCCCCCAGCUUCAGGUUUUUCUCUAACUCUCUUAGCAGGCAUUUGCUGGCUGGGAGUGGUGACCCUGCCUGCGUGUCUGGGUUGACUUUGUCCUCAGUCUUGGUUCUCUGUUUCUGCAUGACCCUCGUCCUCCUCUGAACUUUUUCUCAUAAGCUGAUGCUAUCCACAGUCAGGCUGUGAAAAGGCAGGGUUGUAGGUGGAGGCUGGCCAGUGCAGAGAACAGGAGGAAGCCCGAGCAAGGCUGUAACUGUGAAGUUCUUGCUUGUAGCAUGGUCAUGGUCUCCUGAGCAGAAGUGUGGUGGUAUGCCAUAGGUUGUGUUUAGCCCAAAUAGGUGUUGCAGGAGGAGAAGCUAAGCUAGUGCAGUCACUUUUGAUCUGUUCCUGAACAGCUAAUAGUAGCUAUACAGAAGAUACUUUCACAAACAGGACUAUUUAGAUGGAGAAAUUCUGCAGUGUUCCCUGCAGCUGAUCAUUUCUGCUUUGCUGAGAGGUAUCAUUUUAGGCUGAUGAUGGGAGCAGCCAUAAAGGCGACCUGGUUAUAAGAGGGAAAAUAUUGAACAGAAGAUGACCUCUGCUCAAAUACUGACAGAGAAAAUGCCUGCCAGCCUAGGAACCAGAAGCGUCCUUGAGGUGUGCAGCUGGCAUCUUUGAAGUGCAGCUGGACACCGAGAAACCAGAGACAUCCCGAGAUACCACUGAUAAGUGCAAAAACAAGGAACUGUAACAGCAACUUAUCGUCUGGAAAGGUGAAAAAAAAAGUCUGGAAAAGGGGGAAAACAUUCUGAGAAAGUGAACGUUGGUAACUGCUAUUGGCUGUUCUAACUCACAGAACAGAAAAACAGUCUGAUAAAACAAAAAUUGGUCUGAGAGAAUAGAAAACAUCACCAGUUAUUGGUUGUGCCAGGUGGAAAACAGAAAUUAGCAGCAUCUAUUGGCUGUUCCAGGUGGUGGUGUCCUACGCCCCUUUAUGUCUCUGUGAUAAAAAAAAGGACUUACUUUUUACCCAAAAUGCAGCCUCUUUCCUGCACACGAACCCCUGUUCCACACGACAUUUCCUCGGCAGAGCGGACCCUCAGCAGGGACACCGGGCUGACUCCGGCUCCGUGAUGCAGCUCAUCGUCCAAGUGAGACUUCAUCCGUUGUCGACUGGCCCCGCUUCUGGGAUGGGUUUGAUUGGCCCCACUGCUGGGAUCGGUUUGAGGAGCACUUGGUACCGGUCACCCUAACUGCAACAUCAGAAACCAGAAAUGCAGAUCAUUCUCCCUGGAUUUUGGUCCUACCUUAUGCAUUGUACUGAUUUGGCAAGUUGGCAUGAAAUGAAACAACAUCAUGAGAACUUUUUUCUUUCUUACAAUUGUUAUAAUAUAACAAUAUACACAGUGAUUGGAUCCUAUCUAGUAAUUACUAUAUUGCUCGUUCCCUUAUCUCAAGGAUGUAAUAGCAAUCACGUUUUUCAAUUUACAAAUACAAGUUCUCAAGUGGGCAAUGAAUUGGAUUGUUGGUAUUGCUUACACCACCCUCAAUCAUUAGAUGCCAAAUUUUGGUGGUUAGCAGAACCUGUCCCUGAAGCAUCUUGGUAUCAACCUAAUUUGGCACACUUACUCCCCAAUACACCAAAUUAUUGACAACAACCUUUCAAAGAGUGUUCAUAUCAUAAGGCCCCAUGGUGCCUUACAUGCCCCAGGACACAAAUUCAAUUUGGAUGGGAAGACAAGCAUUUGUAAUUACACUUUGUAUUACAAUCACACCCAAGCAUGGUUUCAAUGUCAAUGUGACAGAACACAAGCUUGUAUUGAUGCUGGAAACCUCAUGGACCUGAAAUAAUGAAUCAGCAAUUACAAACAAAGGUGUUUUUAAUGGAUUCUGGCAUCUUACAUGGAACAUUAAUAACGCAAAUUGUCAAAGAAACUAUAAUCUCACCGGUCGUAAUUCUACAUGCUGUUGUCUACAGAGUAAUGGUUGGCUUAGUACUAAUGAUAAUUGGGACAUAUGUGGCCCAAGCAACAUAUCUGGCUGUAUAGAUCAUAAUCCCUUUUGGACACUCCAAUUAAUGUGCUUAAUGAAAUAAUUGAAUUGUUUUUCUAAUCCAUGGUGUUCUUUCUGCAAACAUGGCAGUGACUUUGGGUGAAGCUGGUGGCUGACAUUUUAACAUCUGGAUGGUUCUGGCUUUGCGGCACUAAUGUCUCCAAGAGUCUACCACCACAGCAGACAGGCACCUGUACCAUAACACGUCUUGCUCCUUCAGCAUUUUGCUCUCAAGAUUUGAAAUUUAACUUCCAACACAACCAUUACCCUGUAGGUAAUCAGGGCAGAGUGUCUAAACCCACAGUAACGAGGCCAUCUAAGUUUCCUCAGUUUGUACGUGCACCAUUUCCAAACUUGGGUGUCACUGAAUUAGAACAAGCUGUUAUUAGUAUUUCUGCUACACUUGAAAUUACCCAAAAUGCUACUGUGGAUGUUUUAAAGAACCUACAGAUGAAGAUUAACUCACUCUUACAAUUGGCUACUGUCACAGGUGAAUUAUUAAUCAUUGUUGUGUGGUUAACUAAAAGGGUUUUAUUAAUGAUUAAAUGGUGAUCAAAAGGUAAUUAAUUGAUGAUUGAAUGAAAAUCAAAUGGUAAUCAAAUGAUGACUGAGCAUUACACAUUAAUUAAAUAGUGAUUUAACAAUGAUCUGACAAUGAUUUAAAAGAUGAUUUAGACAGUGUUUAGACGAUAAUUUAGACAAUUUAGGCAGUGGUAAAACAAUCGACUACUUACUACACUUCUAAUAAUUAAGCUAGAGAUGGAUAUAGAGAUGUUGCUAGCAUACAAUAUACCUUUAGGCCUAAUGUAAAAUGUCGCUUAACUCGUUAUAGACAUCAGAUGCUGGGUAAGGGGUGUCUCAAUCUUGAGCAGUAACCUUGCUCCCUGCUGAAGGGGAGAUCACCUCUGUGCAGCCUGCUGCCAUGCAGCAGAGCUCAGUGGGCUCACAGUUUGCGUGGCAGGGCUGAUUUCAGUCGGGGCUGCUUGCUGGUGGUGCCUGAACCAAGGUACUGCUCACUCAGUCCCAGUGGGUGCACCCGACACAGCUACCCACAUUCACUGGGCCUUGGAUUAUCUUUUAGGCUCUCAAAGGGGUAUUUGUGUGUUGAUGAAUAGUACCCAUUGCUUCUCCACUAACAAAGUCAAACAAAUGGAAUGUGAAGUGAAUUUUAUUCAGCAACAUGUCCACCAAAUAGCCCAAGAGCAGCCCCUGCCCAGGGCUGGCCGUGGCCUUUGCCUUAGCUGCCAGACCCUGCAGCAUGGGCACGGCACUUCUCAGUGACAUUAACUCUCAUCCUAGCUGUAGGAUUUGUGCUUUUCUGCAGCGCCUCUCAUAUCAAAGCGCUGCCUGUAUCACUUUUAUCCCAACCGGUACUGUACACUUGUGCUUCAACCAACAAACCCCCUCAGAAGUUGCAAUAACUUUGGGCCCGACACGGCCAUGAGUCUCCUCCACCUCACGCAUUAGGAGGCAAAAGAGACGCAGCAGGCAGGGUGUAGUCUCACUCCUAGUGACCCAUCAGUGGUCGUAGGCCAAGGGGUCGAGUGAUGGGAACAGCCAAAAAGGCAGUCUGGUUAUAAGGGGAAAAAUAUUGAACAGAAGAAGACCGCUGCUCAAAUACUGAUGGAGAAAAUGCCUGCCAGCCUGGGAACCAGAAGUGUCCUUGAGGAGCACAGCUGGCAUCUUUGAAGGGCAUCUGAGUACUGAGAAAUCGGAGACAUCUCGAGAUACUACUGAUGUGAACUACAAAAACAAGGACCUGUAACAGCAACUUAUCAUCUGGAAAGGUGAAAAAGAAGUCUGGAAAAGGGGGAAAACAUCCUGACAAAGGAAGAGUCAGUAACUGCCAUUGGCUAUUCUAACUGGCAGAAGAGAAAUACAGUUUGGAAAUAGAAAAAUUCAUCCAAGAGAAUAGAAAACAUCAUUUAUUGACUGUGCCAGGUGAAAAAUAGAAAUGUGCAGCAUCUAUUGGCUUUUCCAUGUGGUGGUGUCCUCCAAUCUCAUAUGUCUCUGUGAUAUAAAAAAGGAUUUACUUUUUACCCAAAACGGAGCCUCUUUCUCUGAGAAAUGCCUGAGUACAACCCCCAAUUCCCCAUGAUACUUCCUCGACAGAGCAGACCCUCGCCAGGGAUACCAGGCUUACUCCGGGCUCCGUGAUGCAGAUCAUCGACCCAGGGACACUUUGUCUGAUUGGCCCCACUUCUGGGAUGGGUUUGAUGAGCAUUGAUGAGCACUUGGUACUGGUAACUUUAUACAUAUAUAUAUAUAUAUAUAUAUAUGUAUAUAUAUAUGUAUAUGUAUAUAUACACACAGGCAUGCAUGUAAGUAAUUACUGAUAAGUAUAUUUGCUGCUUUACUAGUGGUAAUUCUGUAGUAACUUGUAAUAUUGCAAUACAGACUUGCUACUAAUAUUGAUUGUGCUAUUGUUGAAAUAUAUAUUUGCUUUCUGGUAGUAAUCUGUAGUAUACAUAUACUGAUCAUAAGUGUACUUGCCUUGAUAGUGAUGACCUGUAGUAAAAUGCAAUAAAGUAAUUUCAGAAGUUAA